AUUGAACGCUGGCGGCAGGCCUAACACAUGCAAGUCGAACGAGUGGCGGACGGGUGAGUAAUGUCUGUGAAACUGCCCGAUGGAGGGGGAUAACUACUGGAAACGGUAGCUAAUACCGCAUACCCUCGGAUGUGCCCCGAUGGGAUUGGCUUGUAGGUGAGGUAACGGCUCACCGAGGCGACGAUCCCUAGCUGGUCUGAGAGGAUGACCAGCCACACGGGAACUGAGACACGGUCCAGACUCCUACGGGAGGCAGCAGUGGGGAAUAUUGCACAAUGGGCGCAAGCCUGAUGCAGCCAUGCCGCGUGUAUGAAGAAGGCCUUCGGGUUGUAAAGUACUUUCAGCGGGGAGGCGUUACCCGCAGAAGAAGCACCGGCUAACUCCGUGCCAGCAGCCGCGGUAAUAC
rnacentral:rRNA from 1 species